rnacentral:rRNA from 1 species
AUGCUCGCGCUCACCCUCGUCGAGGACCACUUCCAGGCGCAGGGCCUCGCCGUCGUCGGAUACUACCAGGCCAACGCGCGCCGCGACGACGCCGACCUCCCCGCCGUCGCCAAGCGCGUCGGGGACCACAUCUUCCGCUACUUCCCCCGCGCCGCCGUGCUGCUGAUAAUUCACUUCUUGCUAGGCAUAGUAUGCUGUCUUGCAAGUUAA